AACGAACGCUGGCGGCAUGCCUAACACAUGCAAGUCGAACGAGAUCUUCGGGUCUAGUGGCGCACGGGUGCGUAACGCGUGGGAAUCUGCCCUUUGGUUCGGAAUAACAGUUGGAAACGACUGCUAAUACCGGAUGAUGACGAAAGUCCAAAGAUUUAUCGCCAGAGGAUGAGCCCGCGUAGGAUUAGCUAGUUGGUGUGGUAAAGGCGCACCAAGGCGACGAUCCUUAGCUGGUCUGAGAGGAUGAUCAGCGACACUGGGACUGGGACACGGCCCAGACUCCUACGGGAGGCAGCAGUGGGGAAUAUUGGACAAUGGGCGAAAGCCUGAUCCAGCAAUGCCGCGUGAGUGAUGAAGGCCUUAGGGUUGUAAAGCUCUUUUACCCGGGAUGAUAAUGACAGUACCGGGAGAAUAAGCUCCGGCUAACUCCGUGCCAGCAGCCGCAGUAA
rnacentral:rRNA from 1 species